GUUCCUACCAACUCAGUCGAUAGAGCAUGGAACUCUUAAUUUCAGGGUCGUGGGUUCGAGUCCCACAUGGGGCA